UCCUGUUCCUAAGUACUAGUGCCGCAGGAGUGAUUAGGCUGUAUGAGACAUUACCGUAUCUCCUGCUGCUCAAGUGCUUAUCAACGGGU
rnacentral:pre_miRNA from 1 species